rnacentral:rRNA from 1 species
GAUGAACGCUGGCGGCGUGCCUAAUACAUGCAAGUCGAGCGAACGGACGAGAAGCCUGCUUCUCUAAUGUUAGCGGCGGACGGGUGAGUAACACGUGGAUAACCUACCUAUAAGACUGGGAUAACUUCGGGAAACCGUAGCUAAUACCGGAUAAUAUUUUGAACCGCAUGGUUCAAAAGUGAAAGACGGUCUUGCUGUCACUUAUAGAUGGAUCCGCGCUGCAUUAGCUAGUUGGUAAGGUAACGGCUUACCAAGGCAACGAUGCAUAGCCGACCUGAGAGGGUGAUCGGCCACACUGGAACUGAGACACGGUCCAGACUCCUACGGGAGGCAGCAGUAGGGAAUCUUCCGCAAUGGGCGAAAGCCUGACGGAGCAACGCCGCGUGAGUGAUGAAGGUCUUCGGAUCGUAAAACUCUGUUAUUAGGGAAGAACAUAUGUGUAAGUAACUGUGCACAUCUUGACGGUACCUAAUCAGAAAGCCACGGCUAACUACGUG